UCUGGCUGUUGUUCGAUAUCUUCCGGUAUUAUCAUAUCUUUUGUUAAUCCUAUCUUUACGACUUGUAUCAGAGGUUUUAUUUCCUCGUGUAAUAUCUCUGCUGUUGCCGUAUAAAACUUUACAUAGAAUAGAUUUCCUUUAGUAACUCUUUUAUAAGUAAUAAAUGCUUUAUGUAGUUCCGGUAUUCCACUUAUUUCCUCUCCG
rnacentral:lncRNA from 1 species